rnacentral:lncRNA from 1 species
AUUCACAAGAAAUCGGCGCCAUCUUUGGGCACGGUACAGGCGGCUACCAACACCGAAGAAUUGGAUUGGUAUAAUGAUGGGGAUUGCAUUGAAUCUGUAGAUCGCUUCUGGAAAUGUUUACAAUAUUAAUCCUGCCAAUCCAUGAGCAUGGGAGAUCUUUCCAUCUUCUGAGAUCUUCUUCAAUUUCUUUCUUCAGAGGCUUGAAGUUCUUAUCAUACAGAUUUUUCACUUGCUUGCUUAGAGUCACACCAAGAAAUCUAUCAAACUAUUAUGAUAGACGCAGAGACCUUCAGUUAGAGCAAAUAGGAUCUUCAAUACGUGAAGAGAGAACACAGAGGAGUAAACCCAGUCAUCAGGCUGUGGAGAGCAUGCCAACUGGAGAAGAGCAUUAUGGUUAGGAAUCCAAUGCUUCCAUCCAGGAAUAUGAUAUAUAUAUAUAUAUAUAUAUGCUUAAGCUGGGAUUCUCAAGAUUUGACCUUACAUUGAGGAGGGCGUAAAGGAGCACAGACCUUCAAAGGACCUUCCUGACCCGGGAAGAAGUAAUUCAUUCUCCUAUCAAGAGCUAGUGUAUUUUACAAACUGGUCACAGCUGUCAGGGAACAUUUAAUUGCCUGUUUCCCAUUGUCCAAGAGUGAGCUUUUUACCACUAAAAGGAUAUUGGCUCCUGCCAAUAUCUGUAGGCCUAUCUUAAGUUGAACAUGCAGCCUUCCUAGGUAGUACUUUAGUAUUCUUCUUCUGCCUGCAAGCACAUCUCUUUUGGAAACAGAUCUAGAAAGACAAAAAGAAAGCAGACAUCAGGAAAGGCCUGGCUUAAGACUUGUGCACCAAAUCUGAAUGCUGCCUGAAAAACUUAGGACAUUUCUCUACCAAGAACUCAUCACAGAACUCUAAGAUUCCUGGACCAAGAACAAUGGAGGGAAAAUGACCUGCACCUGAAACCCACAGAGGGGGCUGGAGAGAUGGUUCAGUGGUUAAGAGCAUUUACUGCUCUUCUAGACAUCCUGAGUUCAAAUCCCAGCCUUCACCUGGUGGCUCACAACUAUCUGUAAUUUGAUCUGAUGCCCUCUUCUGGUGUGUCUGAAGACAGCUACAGUGUACUUAUAUAUAAUAAAUAAACCUAUAAAGAAAGAAACCUA